rnacentral:rRNA from 1 species
GAUGAACGCUGACAGAAUGCUUAACACAUGCAAGUCAACUGUGGCGGACGGGUGAGUAACGCGUAAAGAACUUGCCUCACGGAUAGGGACAACAUUUGGCAACGAAUGCUAAUACCUGAUACUGUGAGAGAGCUUUGCGUCCCAUUAGCUAGUUGGAGAGGUAACGUCUCACCAAGGCGAUGAUGGGUAGCCGGCCUGAGAGGGUGAGCGGCCACAAGGGGACUGAGAGACUGCCGUUACUACUACGGGAGGCAGGAGUGGGGAAUAAUGGACAAUGGACCAAAGGUUGAUCCAGCAAUUCUGUGUGAAAGAUGAAGGUUUCGGAAGGUAAAGUGCUUUAAGGUGGGAAGCGGUAACAACAGAAGAAGUGACGGCUAACUACGUGCCAGCAGCCGCGGUAAUAC